GGAUCCAGACUUUGAUCAUGGCUCAGGACGAACGCUGGCGGCGUGCCUAACACAUGCAAGUCGAACGGAACUUUUUUAAAAGAUUUCUUCGGAAUGAAUUUGAUUAAGUUUAGUGGCGGACGGGUGAGUAACGCGUGAGUAACCUGCCUCUGAGAGGGGAAUAACAUUCUGAAAAGAAUGCUAAUACCGCAUAAUAUAUAUUUAUCGCAUGGUAGAUAUAUCAAAGAUUUAUCGCUUAGAGAUGGACUCGCGUCCGAUUAGUUAGUUGGUGAGGUAACGGCUCACCAAGACCGCGAUCGGUAGCCGGACUGAGAGGUUGAACGGCCACAUUGGGACUGAGACACGGCCCAGACUCCUACGGGAGGCAGCAGUGGGGGAUAUUGCGCAAUGGGGGAAACCCUGACGCAGCAACGCCGCGUGAAGGAUGAAGGUCUUCGGAUUGUAAACUUCUUUUAUUAAGGACGAAGAAAGUGACGGUACUUAAUGAAUAAGCUCCGGCUAACUACGUGCCAGCAGCCGCGGUAAUACGUAGGGAGCAAGCGUUGUCCGGAUUUACUGGGUGUAAAGGGUGCGUAGGCGGCUUUGCAAGUCAGAUGUGAAAUCUAUGGGCUCAACCCAUAGCCUGCAUUUGAAACUGCAGAGCUUGAGUGAAGUAGAGGCAGGCGGAAUUCCCCGUGUAGCGGUGAAAUGCGUAGAGAUGGGGAGGAACACCAGUGGCGAAGGCGGCCUGCUGGGCUUUAACUGACGCUGAGGCACGAAAGCGUGGGUAGCAAACAGGAUUAGAUACCCUGGUAGUCCACGCUGUAAACGAUGAUUACUAGGUGUGGGGGGUCUGACCCCUUCCGUGCCGGAGUUAACACAAUAAGUAAUCCACCUGGGGAGUACGGCCGCAAGGUUGCAACUC
rnacentral:rRNA from 1 species